rnacentral:rRNA from 1 species
AGUGAACGCUGGCGGUAGGCCUAACACAUGCAAGUCGAACGGCAGCACAGUAAGAGCUUGCUCUUACGGGUGGCGAGUGGCGGACGGGUGAGGAAUACAUCGGAAUCUACUUUUUCGUGGGGGAUAACGUAGGGAAACUUACGCUAAUACCGCAUACGACCUACGGGUGAAAGCAGGGGAUAUUCGGACCUUGCGCGAUUGAAUGAGCCGAUGUCGGAUUAGCUAGUUGGCGGGGUAAAGGCCCACCAAGGCGACGAUCCGUAGCGGGCCUGAGAGGAUGAUCAGCCACACUGGAACUGAGACACGGUCCAGACUCCUACGGGAGGCAGCAGUGGGGAAUAUUGGACAAUGGGCGAAAGCCUGAUCCAGCCAUACCGCGUGAGUGAAGAAGGCCUUCGGGUCGUAAAGCCCUUUUGUUGGGAAAGAAAAGCAGCAGGUUAAUACCCCGCUGUUCUGACGGUACCCAAAGAAUAAGCACCGGCUAACUUCGUG